rnacentral:rRNA from 1 species
AUACGGAGGGUGCAAGCGUUGUUCGGAAUCACUGGGCGUAAAGGGCGCGCAGGCGGUUUUACAAGUCAGAUGUGAAAGCCCACGGCUUAACCGUGGAAGUGCAUUUGAAACUGUAAGACUCGAGUAUCAGAGGGGAAGGUGGAAUUCCCGGUGUAGAGGUGAAAUUCGUAGAUAUCGGGAGGAAUACCGGUGGCGAAGGCGACAUUCUGGCUGAAUACUGACGCUGAGGCGCGAAAGCGUGGGGAGCAAACAGGAUUAGAUACCCCGGUAGUCC